AUGAGAGUAACCUAUUUUAGUGAACAACAACAAUUGCUUCAGAGGAGCAAAUUUUUAAGAUAGCUGAUGCUAUAUAGUCAUAUGUGUAGACCUCAAUAUAUAUAGAAUAACACUUUGAAGAUAAUCACCGGAUGCGGUGUAGAUCUUGCAGUAAUAGAAAAGCCCAGGGACUUAUAUGUAAAUAAAUACGUCCACUGGGAUUCAAGUGCAAGAUGGCCGAGAGGAUAAGAAUCCCCAAUUUCUCUUGUGCGGUCAGGGAUUAACCGCUGCUGCCGGAGAAGUAUGCCUCAGGUGAGGGAGAGUCGCCGGGGAGCGUCGCCGCGGUUGGAUGGACGCCGCCCUUUCGCCUUGUGACGGAGGAAGCCCCGGAUGAGGGCGCGUUGCGCCAUGCGCGUGCGCCUGAGGGCGCUGCCGUCGCGUUGCCGCAGUGCCUCUUCCAGCCCCAGCCAGUCAUCCGUGUCGCCGUGUGCGCUCUAGCCAUUGCAUCCCGUGGAUGAGCAGCCGAGAGCCCGAGACGCAUGGACGCGGGAGCCGCUAGCGAUGUUGCAGAUCGCUUGAUCCAGUGCAAGAAAAACUGAACUUUUCUUCCUUGGUCAAGGAUCUCUUCCCGUUGAUGCUUCAGCCAUCUAUUCAUCUCACCAUGUCCACAUACUAUGUGCAGAAAAGCAGUUAAUCUUCAGAUCAUGGGAAGAACAAAAAUUAAACGGAAUUAGUGUUUCCUGAUUGAUUUCCCGAUGCUCGUUCAGGCAGUCGCUGUGCUGAUGCCGUUUAAGGCGUUCGUGCUUGACUCGUUGGCUGCCGCCGCCGACGACUGGAAGGGUCCCGCUGAUGGUGUCUGCGCCACCGGGAGGAGCAAGGCCGCAUCACCCCGCGCCGGAGGACCCCCCAUGCGCCAGAGGGCGCCUCGUGUGGUGCUUAUGUGCGGGUGACCACGCCGCCGGACAAGGGCUGCGGUGUCGCGCGCCCGCUGGUGGCCACCGCGCUGCAGGGCUAGAACAGAGGCAUCUCCUAUGCUUUUGUGGCCUUCUCGCUCUCGGUAGAGCCGAGUGCUGAUAACGUGUUGAAUGUAAAAGUGAUUGAAUGAAGGAAAGGCUACUGAUUUCAUUGAUUC